AUUGAACGCUGGCGGCAGGCCUAACACAUGCAAGUCGAACGGUAACAGGAAACAGCUUGCUGUUUCGCUGACGAGUGGCGGACGGGUGAGUAAUGUCUGGGAAACUGCCUGAUGGAGGGGGAUAACUACUGGAAACGGUAGCUAAUACCGCAUAACGUCGCAAGACCAAAGAGGGGGACCCUCGGGCCUCUUGCCAUCGGAUGUGCCCAGAUGGGAUUCGCUUGUUGGUGGGGUAACGGCUCACCAAGGCGACGAUCCCUAGCUGGUCUGAGAGGAUGACCAGCCACACGGGAACGGAGACACGGUCCAGACUCCUACGGGAGGCAGCAGUGGGGAAUAUUGCACAAUGGGCGCAAGCCUGAUGCAGCCAUGCCGCGUGUAUGAAGAAGGCCUUCGGGUUGUAAAGUACUUUCAGCGGGGAGGAAGGGAGUAAAGUUAAUACCUUUGCUCAUUGACGUUACCCGCAGAAGAAGCACCGGCUAACUCCGUG
rnacentral:rRNA from 1 species